CCCGGAUGGAAUAAAAGAGAAAGCGAGUCUGCUGCUGUUUGCUUCCUCCUGCCUGCCCUGUCGUGGAGUUUCUCCCCUGUGUUGUCCCUCUGCCAUGCCACCCUGCCUUCGAGCCAGCUGAGUAUGGAUUGAAAUCUCUACAAACUAAAUAUCAAAAGUCCAAAUUGCCCAGAACCUCAACCCUUCUAGUCAACCAAGAUGUCUGAAAUCCCCACCAUGACUCAGUUCUUUCUCUUAAGAAUAUCUGGAAACCCACUGGUAUAGAAGAUGAAUUUUAAGAUCUUGCUUGGACAAUGAUUAGCAAGGAGCAAAAUGGUUUGGUGGAGGGGAAGGCCAGUGGUGCUGAGAGCUGCGCUCGUGACAGACGCUCCAAACUGAAUGUUCCAAACUUAUUGAUGAGCUCUGACGCAGGCUUGACUUGAGCAAGCACAGCACAGAUAGAGACAUUUUCCAGCAAUUAAAUGAAGCAAGCUACUGAGUUGGGCUGAUUUCUCUUAUCAACUAAGAGGACCCAGAUAUGAGAUGGAGGUAUUUCUGAAGUAUCUGUUGAGACAGAAAGACUUAUUUUUCAAGAACUGAAAGCUCUGGCCAAUUUUUGCAGAUAUUGAAGAAGCUGAAAGACACUCUCUUCUUGAGUACUUGAGGAUGAGCUGGUAGGUGUGUCACUGUGCCCGCCAAUGAGCACUCACUCCCCCAGGGUGGCACCAAUGUGCUGUCCCUGAGCUCAUAGAAAGAAAUCGGCUCCUGGGAGAAAAGUCUGUAGUGAUACUGGAAGGUGAAUUGCCCAGUAUCAGAAUGAAGUAUCUUUCUUCACUAGGAAUUUUGAAAAUCAUGCAAUCCCAUUUUUUGUGACUCUGUGAAAAAUGAAAAUACCAGGAACAGAACCAAUUGGCAAACAAUCUACAAAUUGUAAUGCUCAGAUCGGUGUAUGUUUGAAGAAUCUCAUGGAAUUGUACAACAAUGGGAAGUUCUUCUGGCUCCAAAGAUGUCCAUAGACAUCCAUUUCUUCAGCAGUCUUCGCUGCUGCAAACACUGAAAGCACUGGACCCCAAUACAAGCUAGUGGCCACCACACUGGUCUAUCAUCUAAACAUCUAGGCACAUUUGUUCAGAAGCCAUCUCUGAACUGGAAGGACCAAAUACCCAGUAUAGAGAAAGUAGAGCAAUGGGGAGCUAAUCAGACCAUGCUUUCUUCAGAAAUUUAUGUCAUCUAGCUUCCUUUAAAUCAAACAUUGAUUCCUUACCAAUUUACAAACAACAAAUUUUAAGCUUAAUUAUUUUUGUGAAAUUUCUGCUGUAACCAUGUCUAAAUUUCUGGAUUUAGAGGGUCAGUGUUACAAGAGAAAGUCUAAAGACAACAGAAGCUAAUCAUCAGAGAGUAACACACACAGGUCAGAAAAAUGGAUAUCAUGCCGAUUUUAUACCCUCCCCUUCCAUAGAGGAUAUGAGAAGGCUGGCAGUGUAUUGUGCAGGUUGAUACCACCUGGAAGUUGUGCCAAUUUUCUUCUCACAAAUGUGCAAUUCAGUAGAGUUAGUGGGAUGUAAUAUUCUGAGAUGACUAUCUAUGUAUUUUGUUCCUGGUAUGUUCCUAUUCCUCUCUAUCUUCUGCUCAAGCAGAUAGUGACUCCACCCAGACAUCAAGGGAAUUGUCCAGAAUUGAGAUGAGAGGAAAAAGGAAGAACUGGAACACAUCUGUAGGUUGUGGAGGAAGCUUAACUGACAAAUUUCAAGAGAAACGUCUACACUGGGACACGAUCACUCUCACAGCGUUCUCAUGUCUUGUGUGUUCAACAGGUAGGAGCUCAGUCCUGAAAUGGAAGAUGAAAGACUCCACUGUUGAUAAAAACAACCCGUGAAAAAGGGCCGCCAAACAGUAUGCUGUUUUCUCCAGCCUACCAGAACUUUAAUUCCAAAAUCCAGUUGUCACAGUUAGAUGAAGUCACACUUCUAGUAUACUUGCUUUGUAUUCUGAUUCCUAUUCAACAUGUGGAAGGAUUUAGAAAUAUGUGACAAAGGAGCAUCACUGGAGAAAAGGCUGCCUCUAAAACUGGCUGGCUUGUUCACAUAAAUUGCCUGUGCAAUACGCCAUCACAAUGUAUGAGUUUUUUAUUUUUAAUUUUUAUUAGUGCAUGUUUGCAAAAAAUAAUUAUAUUCAUUGUAGGGAAUGGGUACAUGUACAUAAUAUAUCUCAAUUCUUUUUAUUUUCUCCUUUAAUGCACCCACUUUUAUUUUCCCAUCAUCAGAUUCAUUUAUUUAUCUUAUAAGCCACUAUAAAAUUAAUUAUUGUAUAUGCAGGUUAACAAACAGAUAGUAGAGCCAAAACAUAUAAAUCACAUAAGGCAACUAUACUAAAUCAUAGUACACUUUUAGAUACAUCAUUCACACUGGAUAAAAAUAACUUUUUUUCCUCUUUUAUCUGUGUAUUAUUUGUUUUUUCACACUUUUCAUAUUGAGUUUUUCAUAUAAAAGAAACCAUGCUAUAUUUAAGCUUAUGUGUCUUAUUUACAAAUGCCUCAUUUAUGACUUUUUAAAAAGCAGGAAUGAUAGUAUCUGUAAUAGCUGACAGAAACUGAAAAGAAAAGAAAAAGAGGAAGAAGAAAGAUUAAGAAUAGUAGGAGAUAGGUGUAGGAGAAGAAGAAAAAGAGGAAGAACUUUAAGCUUCUGUAAAUUACUGUUAAGUUGGAAAUUGAUACACACAUGUUUAUAACAUAUUGUGUUAUAAAGGAAAUAAUGAAACCAAUGUUCCAGGGUAUAAAAGUGUGACAAGUAUAGUAUAGAUUUAUGAAAUAGCCCAAAAUAAUGAACAAAAUAUUAAAAAAAUAUGACCUUCAUUGCAUUUAUUAGAAAAUAAACCUGACAACAUCUUAGCAUCUCUGGAUAGUUAUGAAAACCUAGCAAAUCAUCUGACUCAUGUAUUCCCAUGUGAGUUUGUUUAAUUAUUUUGUGAUCCAUGAAUUUAGUUAAGUACUUUAUAAAGAGCAGAGUUAUCAGCUUAUCUACAAUAUUGCAUGACAUUUUCUUUGAAUGUUUCCUUCCAUUUCUGAACCUUCAAUAAACUUGGUGUAUUUUAGACAUAUUGUUAUAUUGAAAGUGCAGGCCAGGUGUGCUGGUGCACACUGUAAUCACAGCACUCCAGAGGCUGACACGAGGAUUGCUGUAAGUUCGAGGCUAGCUUAGGCUACAAGUUCAAAGUUGGGCUAGUGAGUUCAAGGCCAGUCUAAACUGCAUAGUGAGAACCUGUCUCAAAAAAACAAAAACCAACAAACAAAUAAAGAAUUGCAACAAGUGAACAAGUGAACAUCUGGAGCUGGAUGUUAAUUUUUUAGAGUCCAAAUGCAUCCUAAUCUUGCGAACACUUUUCUUCAUUUGCAGAAUAAUAAACAAAGGAUGUUCAUUUUCCUUCACCUUUAUUGUUGUUAAUAUAUUAUGCAUACAUCAACUUUCUUAC
ensembl:lncRNA